UAACUGAAGAGUUUGAUCAUGGCUCAGAUUGAACGCUGGCGGCAGGCUUAACACAUGCAAGUCGAGCGGGGGAAGGUAGCUUGCUACCGGACCUAGCGGCGGACGGGUGAGUAAUGCUUAGGAAUCUGCCUAUUAGUGGGGGACAACAUCUCGAAAGGGAUGCUAAUACCGCAUACGUCCUACGGGAGAAAGCAGGGGAUCUUCGGACCUUGCGCUAAUAGAUGAGCCUAAGUCGGAUUAGCUAGUUGGUGGGGUAAAGGCCUACCAAGGCGACGAUCUGUAGCGGGUCUGAGAGGAUGAUCCGCCACACUGGGACUGAGACACGGCCCAGACUCCUACGGGAGGCAGCAGUGGGGAAUAUUGGACAAUGGGGGGAACCCUGAUCCAGCCAUGCCGCGUGUGUGAAGAAGGCCUUAUGGUUGUAAAGCACUUUAAGCGAGGAGGAGGCUACUUUAGUUAAUACCUAGAGAUAGUG
rnacentral:rRNA from 1 species